AUUGAACGCUGGCGGCAGGCCUAACACAUGCAAGUCGAGCGAGCGGCGGACGGGUGAGUAAUGUCUGGGAAACUGCCUGAUGGGGGUGGAUAACUACUGGAAACGGUAGCUAAUACCGCGUACCAUCAGGUGUGCCCAGAUGGGAUUAGCUAGUAGGUGGGGUAACGGCGCACCUAGGCGACGAUCCCUAGCUGGUCGGAGAGGAUGAACAGUCACACUGGAACUGAGACACGGUCCAGACUCCUACGGGAGGCAGCAGUGGGGAAUAUUGCACAAUGGGCGCAAGCCUGAUGCAGCCAUGCCGCGUGUGUGAAGAAGGCCUUCGGGUUGUAAAGCACUUUCAGCGGGGAGGCGUUACCCGCAGAAGAAGCACCGGCUAACUCCGUGCCAGCAGCCGCGGUAAUUC
rnacentral:rRNA from 1 species